GUUGGGGACACUCCGUAAGGUGACUGGCCGGCCGUAAAAGUCGGGAGGAAGGUGGGGAUGACGUCAAAUCAUCAUGCCCCUUAUGACCUGGGCUACACACGUGCUACAAUGGGCGGUACAAAGGGUCGCGAACCCGCGAGGGGGAGCCAAUCCCAAAAAGCCGCUCUCAGUUCGGAUUGCAGGCUGCAACUCGCCUGCAUGAAGCCGGAAUCGCUAGUAAUCGCGGAUCAGCAUGCCGCGGUGAAUACGUUCCCGGGCCUU
rnacentral:rRNA from 1 species